rnacentral:rRNA from 1 species
AGGUGAUAUGAACCGUUAUAACCGGCGAUACCCGAAUGGGGAAACCCAGUGUGACUCGUCACACUAUCAUUAACUGAAUCCAUAGGUUAAUGAGGCGAACCGGGGGAACUGAAACAUCUAAGUACCCCGAGGAAAAGAAAUCAACCGAGAUUCCCCCAGUAGCGGCGAGCGAACGGGGAGGAGCCCAGAGCCUGAAUCAGCAUGUGUGUUAGUGGAAGCGUCUGGAAAGGCGCGCGAUACAGGGUGACAGCCCCGUACACAAAAGCGCAUGUGCUGUGAGCUCGAUGAGUAGGGCGGGACACGUGGUAUCCUGUCUGAAUAUGGGGGGACCAUCCUCCAAGGCUAAAUACUCCUGACUGACCGAUAGUGAACCAGUACCGUGAGGGAAAGGCGAAAAGAACCCCGGCGAGGGGAGUGAAAAAGAACCUGAAACCGUGUACGUACAAGCAGUGGGAGCCCCACCACCAAAGCAUUUGCUGUACCGCGUUGACGGAGCGAAGCGACGUCAAACCGAUAAAACAGCAGUGUAAAGUGAGCCGCAGGGCGCUUUGCGCGACAGCGCAAAGGCAGGCGGUUUCGCGUAGCGAAAGCGAAUGCUUUGGGGUGGGGUGACUGCGUACCUUUUGUAUAAUGGGUCAGCGACUUAUAUUCUGUAGCAAGGUUAACCGAAUAGGGGAGCCGGAGGGAAACCGAGUCUUAAUUGGGCGUUAAGUUGCAGGGUAUAGACCCGAAACCCGGUGAUCUAGCCAUGGGCAGGUUGAAGGUUGGGUAACACUAACUGGAGGACCGAACCGACUAAUGUUGAAAAAUUAGCGGAUGACCUGUGGCUGGGGGUGAAAGGCCAAUCAAACCGGGAGAUAGCUGGUUCUCCCCGAAAGCUAUUUAGGUAGCGCCUCGUGAAUUCAUCUCCGGGGGUAGAGCACUGUUUCGGCUAGGGGGCCAUCCCGGCUUACCAACCCGAUGCAAACUGCGAAUACCGGAGAAUGUUAUCACGGGAGACACACGGCGGGUGCUAACGUCCGUCGUGAAGAGGGAAACAACCCAGACCGCCAGCUAAGGUCCCAAAGUCAUGGUUAAGUGGGAAACGAUGUGGGAAGGCCCAGACAGCCAGGAUGUUGGCUUAGAAGCAGCCAUCAUUUAAAGAAAGCGUAAUAGCUCACUGGUCGAGUCGGCCUGCGCGGAAGAUGUAACGGGGCUAAACCAUGCACCGAAGCUGCGGCAGCGACACUGUGUGUUGUUGGGUA